UAUCACUAACUCAAAGUGUCAAAAAUAUGAUCAAAUGACCACCUAUCAACAUAUUGAAUUAGAGAAGAUUGAAUCAACUAAGAGACCAUCUAUGGAUGACUUGGAACGUAUAAGCAUUGAUCAAAUAAGUCAACGACUCAAGCUCAAACAUCAAGUGGCACAAAAAUGAAUAAAAAAAGGAUUUAAAAUUGAUUAAAAAGGGAAAUUAAAGAGAAAAUUCCAAACCAUAAGCAAAACAAUGAAUAGAUGACUAAGAAAAAUACACAAAGUACCAAAUAUUACUCAUGAAUGAAUUUCAAAAGUUGGAUGCAAAAAUAUUUGAAAAUGAUAAAAAAUAAAAUGGAAAAUGAAAAAUAAAAGAAAAUAUCAAUUAAAUGCAAAAUGAUUUUAAAAAUUAUGCAAAAAAUAUAUGUGAUGCAAAAUAUUUUUAUGGAUCUUUCAUAAAAAAAUUGGAUCAAAAUGAAUUAAAAAUUCAAAAAGAAAAAGUAAAUAAAAAUAAAAAUAAAAAUAAAAUAAAAAAUGUUUGAAU
rnacentral:lncRNA from 1 species